UGUUUGCACGUUAUAUGAGAGACGAAUAAUCUCACUGAUUCUUUUAAAAGUAUACAUUUGCUUCCCAUGAGAGGACUUGGCUAUGUCUGCUAUAUAUUAGCUCAAAUUACAGAAGACUGCGGAGCCAUUCUCAGAAGCACCACGACUCAGAGCUCAUCAAUUUCCAUAUUGAGUAGCAUGCAAGCGUGAAACAUGGAGUAUCUGAUUUAUGAGGCUACCAAUCCUCUUGACAACGUAAGUUAACCAUAACAUAGCUGAUUAUGUUGACAAAUUACAGCCCUUUAGACAUUGACGUUGUUAUCUAAUUCUGUUAGUUUUGGGAGAAAAUAUAGUUCUGUUGGUAACUUUUGAUUCAUAAACACAUCAAUAUGAGAAAGCUUUAACUUGCAGCUAUUGGCUUUUGGAUAGGAGAAGCAGAUGAUUUUUAUUUAUCUUGUAAAAGGGAGUCAGUCUUCUGCUCUUCGGAUGAAAAGCUACUGAUUUUUGGGAAUUUUCUUUAUUUGCCUUUUAUAUUGUUAUAUGAGAUGAUUUACAAUCUUUGUCCUAAGUGUUUAUAAGUUACCAAUGCAUACCUGAUGUACUAGUUGAGUACAAUCUACAUAUCGGCACUUCUGCCUUAUGUGAUUCAAAAGAAAUAGAUAUAUUGCCAGUCUGACUAGAUUCUAACACCAAUACAAUUCCAGUAUCAUCAAGGAAUUUACUGUGGGUAGUUAUACAUACAACAAAAAAGCUGUGAUAAUGAAACAUAAAAUUUUAAGUUUGAAAGAGAUAUAGCUUCUUUCAGCUUGAGAUUCAAACAAGGGCUUAUUCCAUAGAAGCAAUAACCAUAUCUAAUCCCGUUGUAGUAAUGAUGGGAACAACUCUGACUGACUUUCCGGCGGAUUCUAGAAUAUUUGAAGAAAAAUCUCAUUAGACUAAAAUUUAGGGGUAUGCGAUAAUGAGAUUAUUAGAGAAGCUAGAAAACUUUACCUGCAAGCGGUGACAAAUCUCAAAAACUUCAGCAAGGGGUGCCCAGUCUCCAAAAUUCCUUUCAAUAAAUUGAUAAGCAACUCCACUUUUUCCUUUGCCGACAAUGAAAAGUCCUCCUUUUAUCUCACCUUCACCCCUGAAGUUCUGCUCCACCCCCAUGGCUUUCGCUCUCUUAUAAUUUGCAAUAGCUCGAGGAUUAAAUAGAAAGCCUGAUAUGAACCUGUCUUUUAGCAGAUUUCCUCCUCCCAGAGCUUUAUAAAAUGCCAUGCUUUUGUCAAAGAGGACUACGCCACCCCAGUAUCGUGGCCAGAAAUCCUUUAACUGGAUUACAAAACCCAGCAUAAUGAACCAGGUCCUUCCAAAGAAAUGUCAGCAAAAAAGUAGUAAAAAGUUACCUCUGAUUCUAUUUGCUCAUGAAGAACAGCAAAUAAUUGAAACCCCAAUGCGUCAAAUAUUGGUUUCUUUGCAUAAAGUUGGUGGGCUUCAGCUCUGCACAUAAUGCACCUGUUUCCAUCAUCUUUUUGGGAUUAGAUUCAGUAAUUCAUGCUCAUAGAAAAAGAUUUAAUUUCAUCUUCUUAUAAAAAUAUAAAUACCAUUUGUUCUUUAAAGGGGAAAAACAUUCCUAGGUUAUAUCCUUCAUCAAUGUAUCCAGAGUCUAGUGGGAUCACAUGCAUUGUUGGAUCUUCUAUUGUGAUUGAAGUUUUAUGCAGGUAUUGACUUGAGUUUCCCUGUGAAAUUCUUGCAAGAGGUUUCUUUAUUUCUGUUUAACCUAGUAUCUGUUAUAUCCUAUAAGAGGCAGCGUCCGAGACAUUGCAUAUACUGUGUCUGAGACAUAGCAUAUCCAUUGAACUACAAUUAACAAAUUAUAGGUGUUAAUUGCAGAAAUGAUUUGAUGCUUUACCCAGGGCGACGAAUGCAUAUAAUCACUGCUGGUUUAUCACGCCAGAGCUCUGAAGCCUUCAGUGGCGGAGUCUUUGUUUUCAC
rnacentral:lncRNA from 1 species